rnacentral:rRNA from 1 species
AUUGAACGCUGGCGGCAUGCUUUACACAUGCCAGUCGAACGGCAGCGCGGGCUUCGGCCUGGCGGCGAGUGGCGAACGGGUGAGUAAUGCAUCGGAACGUGCCCAGUAGUGGGGGAUAGCCCGGCGAAAGCCGGAUUAAUACCGCAUACGACCUGAGGGUGAAAGCGGGGGACCGAAAGGCCUCGCGCUAUUGGAGCGGCCGAUGUCGGAUUAGCUAGUUGGUGGGGUAAAGGCUUACCAAGGCGACGAUCCGUAGCUGGUCUGAGAGGACGACCAGCCACACUGGGACUGAGACACGGCCCAGACUCCUACGGGAGGCAGCAGUGGGGAAUUUUGGACAAUGGGGGCAACCCUGAUCCAGCCAUGCCGCGUGCGGGAAGAAGGCCUUCGGGUUGUAAACCGCUUUUGUUCGGGAAGAAAUCCUCUGGGCUAAUACCCCGGGGGGAUGACGGUACCGGAAGAAUAAGCACCGGCUAACU